rnacentral:rRNA from 1 species
CGGGUGGAUAGUGAUACGUUACUCUAUCGCGGGCAGGCCGGGACAUCGUCCUGCUGUGUACUUUUGCGUAGCGGUCCUUCUUCGUCUAGCGUCAAGCCCGCUAAGAAGGAUUCCCUUAGGUAUGAAAGCCUAUGGUGCAGACCCUUCCUAGGGUAUAUGGCCGUACGGGUCGCACCGUACAACCCUAUACAGCCGGCAAAAAAGACUGUGUAGGGGCGCCAUUUAGCGGCUGCCAAACUUUUACAAGUGCGCCUUUAGUGAGGUGGACACGCUUAUGACUUGAAUAUAGUGGGGUCUAGGGGUACAGGAUCUAACCUUCAACGGGUUUUAUAGAGGGUCUGUCGAGUUUAACGGCCAGCAGCCGCGGUAAUUCCAGCUCCAAUAGCGUAUAUUAAAGUUGUUGCAGUUAAAAAGCUCGUAGUUGAACCUUGGGCCUGGCUGGCCGGUCCGCCUCACCGCGUGCACUGGUCCGGCCGGGCCUUUCCUCCUGGGGAGCCGCAUGCCCUUCACUGGGUGUGUCGGGGAACCAGGACUUUUACUUUGAAAAAAUUAGAGUGUUCAAAGCAGGCCUAUGCUCGAAUACAUUAGCAUGGAAUAAUAGAAUAGGACGUGUGGUUCUAUUUUGUUGGUUUCUAGGACCGCCGUAAUGAUUAAUAGGGAUAGUCGGGGGCAUCAGUAUUCAAUUGUCAGAGGUGAAAUUCUUGGAUUUAUUGAAGACUAACUACUGCGAAAGCAUUUGCCAAGGAUGUUUUCAUUAAUCAGUGAACGAAAGUUAGGGGAUCGAAGACGAUCAGAUACCGUCGUAGUCUUAACCAUAAACUAUGCCGACUAGGGAUCGGGCGAUGUUAUCUUUUUGACUCGCUCGGCACCUUACGAGAAAUCAAAGUCUUUGGGUUCUGGGGGGAGUAUGGUCGCAAGGCUGAAACUUAAAGAAAUUGACGGAAGGGCACCACCAGGAGUGGAGCCUGCGGCUUAAUUUGACUCAACACGGGGAAACUCACCAGGUCCAGACACAAUAAGGAUUGACAGAUUGAGAGCUCUUUCUUGAUUUUGUGGGUGGUGGUGCAUGGCCGUUCUUAGUUGGUGGAGUGAUUUGUCUGCUUAAUUGCGAUAACG